UGGGGAAUCUUGCACAAUGGGGGCAACCCUGAUGCAGCGACGCCGCGUGAGCGAUGAAGCCCUUCGGGGCGUAAAGCUCUUUCGACCGGAACGAUAAUGACGGUACCGGGAGAAGAAGCUGCGGCUAACUACGUGCCAGCAGCCGCGGUAAUACGUAGGCAGCAAGCGGUGUUCGGCGUUACUGGGCGUAAAGAGUGCGUAGGCGGUUUUCUAAGUUCGGUGUGAAAUCUCCCGGCUUAACGGGGAGGGUGCGCCGAAGACUGGGAAGCUGGAGUGUGGGAAAGGCAGGCGGAAUUCCUGGUGUCGCGGUGAAAUGCGUAGAUAUCAGGAGGAACACCGGCGGUGUAGACGGCUUGCUAGACCAUAACUGACGCUGAGGCACGAAAGCGUGGGUAGCAAACA
rnacentral:rRNA from 1 species